rnacentral:rRNA from 1 species
GAUGAACGCUAGCGGCAGGCCUAAUACAUGCAAGUCGAACGGUGUAGCAAUACACAGUGGCGCACGGGUGCGGAACACGUAUGCAACCUACCUUACAUUGGGGGAUAGCCUUUUGAAAGGGAGAUUAAUACCGCAUAAGACAGUAACUAGGCAUCUAGUAGCUGUUAAAGAUUUAUCGAUGUAAGCUGGGCAUGCGUCCAAUUAGUUAGAUGGCGAGGUAAUGGCUCACCAAGACGAUGAUUGGUAGGGGAACUGAGAGGUCAAUCCCCCACACUGGCACUGAGAUACGGGCCAGACUCCUACGGGAGGCAGCAGUAGGGAAUAGUGGGCAAUGGGCGCAAGCCUGACCCAGCCAUGCCGCGUGCAGGAAGAAGGCGUUAUGCGUUGUAAACUGCUUUUAUACAGGAAGAAACGACCCUUGCGAGGGGCAUUGACGGUACUGUAUGAAUAAGCACCGGCUAACUCCGUGCCAGCAGCCGCCGUAAGAC